rnacentral:rRNA from 1 species
CCUAUGGGGGGAGGAAGUGGGGAAUAUUGGACAAUGGGGGGAACCCUGAUCCAGCCAUGCCGCGUGUGUGAAGAAGGCCCUCGGGUUGUAAAGCACUUUCAGUGAGGAAGAACGCCUGGUGGUUAAUACCCAUCAGGAAAGACAUCACUCACAGAAGAAGCACCGGCUAACUCCGUGCCAGCAGCCGCGGUAAUACGGAGGGUGCGAGCGUUAAUCGGAAUUACUGGGCGUAAAGCGCGCGUAGGUGGCUUGAUAAGCCGGUUGUGAAAGCCCCGGGCUCAACCUGGGAACGGCAUCCGGAACUGUCAAGCUAGAGUGCAGGAGAGGAAGGUAGAAUUCCCGGUGUAGCGGUGAAAUGCGUAGAGAUCGGGAGGAAUACCAGUGGCGAAGGCGGCCUUCUGGACUGACACUGACACUGAGGUGCGAAAGCGUGGGUAGCAAACAGGAUUAGAUACCCUGGUAGUC